UGAGACACUUGAUUCUGCUGAGAAGAAUGCUGGUUUGCAAGUCACAGAGGAAAGCUUCUACAUCAGAAUAUGGCGGUGCUCAAUGAUCCUUAAAUCCUACUUUCACCUAGGAAAGCUUGAAGAAGGUCUGUCUUUGCUGGUGCAACAAGAGGAAAAGGUGUACACCAUAAGCAAGUAAUUAGUACUAACUUUUUAUCCAUUCACCCACCCUCUGCUCACUUCCCAGGGAGUGGAAGCAAGGUUUUGGAUUCACUCAUACUGUUAGCUGCCACUGUACGUGAGCUCUUACAUCACAAGGAUCUGAACUUGAAGUGUUGCUAUCUAUGAUAUUGCCACCGGCUAUGUGUGGACAUCAUAAUCACUUGGUUUGGACUUUGGACGCUAUAAAGGAUGGACACUUAUUCAAUUAGUUCUAGGAUUCGUGCUGGGUUUUGUCCUAAUUUUCUAUAAUCUUGAACUGUUGCUCUCUGUGACUUUGCUACCCGCUAGACAUUCUAAUCACUUCGGGUUUUGUUAGAAUAUUUCAA